GACGAACGCUGGCGGCGUGCUUAACACAUGCAAGUCGAACGGAAGGGCCCUGCUUUUGUGGGGUGCUCGAGUGGCGAACGGGUGAGUAACACGUGAGUAACCUGCCCUUGACUUUGGGAUAACUUCAGGAAACUGGGGCUAAUACCGGAUAGGAGCUCCUGCUGCAUGGUGGGGGUUGGAAAGUUUCGGCGGUUGGGGAUGGACGCGCGGCUGAUCAGCUUGUUGGUGGGGUAGUGGCAUACCAAGGCUUUGACGGGUAGCCGGCCUGUGAGGGUGACCGGCCACAUUGGGACUGAGAUACGGCCCAGACUCCUACGGGAGGCAGCAGUGGGGAAUAUUGCACAAUGGGCGGAAGCCUGAUGAAGCAACGCUGCGUGCGGGAUGACGGCCUUCGGGUUGUAAACCGCUUUCGCCUGUGACGAAGCGUGAGUGACGGUAAUGGGUAAAGAAGCACCGGCUAACUACGUG
rnacentral:rRNA from 1 species